rnacentral:misc_RNA from 1 species
UCAGGGUUGAAUAAUUCUGUCCCAGUAUUUUCAGCAGAGGAGAAGCUUGAUAGAAAGGUAGCAGUUAAUGUCAAAAAUGGAAGAUCAACAAAAAGUAGUUCACAUGCUGACAGGGAAGAGCUAGCCAGGCAAAUACAAAAUAGCUUCAUUGUGAAGUCGAAACAGAAUAAUUCAGAUGUUGCAAGUGAAUAUCCAGUUAGUACAAAGAAGUCUGAGUUCUUAGUUAGCUCUGCCAAAGCAAGUGCAGAUGGUGCAACGAAAUUGCAUGGUGGAAGUGAAGGGAAAAAGGAGCUCUUGGUAGAAGCAAAUAAAUACAGCGGGCCAAAGACAGUUGAUGUAAAUAAAAAUAAGCAUGA